CCUACGGGAGGCUGCCGUGGGGAAUAUUGCGCAAUGGGCGAAAGCCUGACGCAGCGACGCCGCGUGAGGGCUGAAGGUCUUCGGAUCGUAAACCUCUGUCAGCAGGGAAGAACGGUCACUGUGCUAAUCAGCAGUGAAUUGACGGUACCUGCAAAGGAAGCACCGGCUAACUCCGUGCCAGCCGCCGCGGUAAUACGGAGGGUGCGAGCGUUCUCCGGAUUUAUUGGGUUUAAAGGGUGCGUAGGCGGAACAUUAAGUCAGCGGUAAAAUCGAGGGGCUCAACCCCUUUAAGCCGUUGAAACUGGUGAUCUUGAGUGGGCGAGAAGUAUGCGGAAUGCGUGGUGUAGCGGUGAAAUGCAUAGAUAUCACGCAGAACUCCGAUUGCGAAGGCAGCAUACCGGCGCCCGACUGACGCUGAGGCACGAAAGCGUGGGGAUCGAACAGGAUUAGAUACCCCAGUAGUC
rnacentral:rRNA from 1 species